UUGAACGCUGGCGGCAGGCCUAACACAUGCAAGUCGAGCGGUAGCACAGAGAGCUUGCUCUCGGGUGACGAGCGGCGGACGGGUGAGUAAUGUCUGGGAAACUGCCUGAUGGAGGGGGAUAACUACUGGAAACGGUAGCUAAUACCGCAUAACGUCGCAAGACCAAAGUGGGGGACCUUCGGGCCUCAUGCCAUCAGAUGUGCCCAGAUGGGAUUAGCUAGUAGGUGGGGUAAUGGCUCACCUAGGCGACGAUCCCUAGCUGGUCUGAGAGGAUGACCAGCCACACUGGAACUGAGACACGGUCCAGACUCCUACGGGAGGCAGCAGUGGGGAAUAUUGCACAAUGGGCGCAAGCCUGAUGCAGCCAUGCCGCGUGUGUGAAGAAGGCCUUCGGGUUGUAAAGCACUUUCAGCGGGGAGGAAGGCGAUAAGGUUAAUAACCUUGUCGAUUGACGUUACCCGCAGAAGAAGCACCGGCUAACUCCGUGCCAGCAGCCGCGGUAAUACGGAGGGUGCAAGCGUUAAUCGGAAUUACUGGGCGUAAAGCGCACGCAGGCGGUCUGUCAAGUCGGAUGUGAAAUCCCCGGGCUCAACCUGGGAACUGCAUUCGAAACUGGCAGGCUAGAGUCUUGUAGAGGGGGGUAGAAUUCCAGGUGUAGCGGUGAAAUGCGUAGAGAUCUGGAGGAAUACCGGUGGCGAAGGCGGCCCCCUGGACGAAGACUGACGCUCAGGUGCGAAAGCGUGGGGAGCAAACAGGAUUAGAUACCCUGGUAGUCCACGCCGUAAACGAUGUCGAUUUGGAGGUUGUGCCCUUGAGGCGUGGCUUCCGGAGCUAACGCGUUAAAUCGACCGCCUGGGGAGUACGGCCGCAAGGUUAAAACUCAAAUGAAUUGACGGGGGCCCGCACAAGCGGUGGAGCAUGUGGUUUAAUUCGAUGCAACGCGAAGAACCUUACCUGGUCUUGACAUCCACAGAACUUUCCAGAGAUGGAUUGGUGCCUUCGGGAACUGUGAGACAGGUGCUGCAUGGCUGUCGUCAGCUCGUGUUGUGAAAUGUUGGGUUAAGUCCCGCAACGAGCGCAACCCUUAUCCUUUGUUGCCAGCGGUUAGGCCGGGAACUCAAAGGAGACUGCCAGUGAUAAACUGGAGGAAGGUGGGGAUGACGUCAAGUCAUCAUGGCCCUUACGACCAGGGCUACACACGUGCUACAAUGGCAUAUACAAAGAGAAGCGACCUCGCGAGAGCAAGCGGACCUCAUAAAGUAUGUCGUAGUCCGGAUUGGAGUCUGCAACUCGACUCCAUGAAGUCGGAAUCGCUAGUAAUCGUAGAUCAGAAUGCUACGGUGAAUACGUUCCCGGGCCUUGUACACACCGCCCGUCACACCAUGGGAGUGGGUUGCAAAAGAAGUAGGUAGCUUAACCUUCGGGAGGGCGCUUACCACUUUGUGAUUCAUGACUGGGGUG
rnacentral:rRNA from 1 species